GAUGAACGCUGGCGGCGUGCCUAAUACAUGCAAGUCGAGCGAACAGAUAAGGAGCUUGCUCCUUUGACGUUAGCGGCGGACGGGUGAGUAACACGUGGGUAACCUACCUAUAAGACUGGGAUAACUUCGGGAAACCGGAGCUAAUACCGGAUAACGUUUGGAACCGCAUGGUUCUAAAGUGAAAGAUGGUUUUGCUAUCACUUAUAGAUGGACCCGCGCCGUAUUAGCUAGUUGGUAAGGUAACGGCUUACCAAGGCGACGAUACGUAGCCGACCUGAGAGGGUGAUCGGCCGCACUGGAACUGAGACACGGUCCAGACUCCUACGGGAGGCAGCAGUAGGGAAUCUUCCGCAAUGGGCGAAAGCCUGACGGAGCAACGCCGCGUGAGUGAUGAAGGGUUUCGGCUCGUAAAACUCUGUUAUUAGGGAAGAACAAAUGUGUAAGUAACUGUGCACGUCUUGACGGUACCUAAUCAGAAAGCCACGGCUAACUACGUG
rnacentral:rRNA from 1 species